UUUCAUUUUUUCCAUUCAGCCUUCAUUUAAACAAAAAUUAAAAUAAAAAAAAUAAAAAUGAAAAAAAAGCAAGAGAAAAAAAAAUAAAAAAAAAAUAAGCAAAACAAAAACAUAUUUUUUUAAAUAAUUCAUUUUCCCUCUUUUUCACACCAGUCUACAACUUCAAGUAAAAAGUGAUCUUAACAAGGGAAGGCACGCCUGUCACCCCAAAUAACGCUUACCCCCUCCUGUAACCCUGCUUCACACCUUUGCUCUGCACUGCAGAGAUAUAUAUGGGUUGUAUGCAGAGCAAUGUGCAGCCCCAGCCUACCAGCAGUGCAGGGGUUCAUUUAAUUAGUGCAAGGAGAGAGACACACGUAAAAUAGGAGAAUUCCCUUAGCUUUUCUACAAAUAACCCCUCCUCCUGUAUAUAGAGACAAAGCUGCUGCAGAGCCUCUUGGGACACCAAAGCGCCAAAUCCCAUUUCACUAUGGGUGGGCGGUAAUAUUCUAAGCAGGGAAUUGGAAUAUCUGUGUCCAAAGAGGUUCAGUAGCAGCUGCAAUAAAGGUACCACCAUUGGCAUCCCAAAUAAAUAAAUGCAGGCUUAAUUGGCAUUAAAUAAAUGUGCAGUCUCUUUCACUAAAAUAGAUCUGUUUAUUUAUGAUGGAUUCUAUGCAAAAAUAGUGAAUUAGAGCAGUCCAUCCCCUCUUCCCAGAUAAAGUUUGCACCGUCAUAUUUAUUAAUUUUUUAAUGUAAUAAACACGUUGCAGAAGACUGUAUAUUCAGUUAUGUUAAUUAAGCCCCAAUUGUUUUUGCGGUACGCAACGCUAGCUGCUCAGAUGGACUCUGCGCAGCGCAACAUUGGUCCAACACACCCAGCACACAUACUAAAACACGGGUAGGCAGCCUUCGGCACUUCAGAUGUUGUGGAAUACAUCUACCAUCAUACUCUUUGAGCCAUAACGCUGGAAAAGAAUCAUGGGAGAUGUAGUCCACAAUAUGUGGAGUGCUAAAGGUUGCCUACCCCUGCACUAAAACAUUCAAAAUGGCCUGUGCAUCAGGUAGACCAGUGACCGCUUAAACCCUUGGGUUGCAGGCGAGUCUUAAAAAAAAAAAAAAAAAAUCAUAAUAAUUUGGGUUUUUAAAAUAAAAACAAAUCCCCCCCCACAAGCCAUCUUCCUCAACAGAAUCAAGAAUCUGGCUAGGUCCCAUUUCGGUAACUUGGGAAAAAGAAUUGAUGAUUGGGAGUCAAAUUAUUUUAUGAAGGAUACCCACAUGGAUUACCAUGUACCAUAAAAACAUUGUAUUGUAAUUGUACAGGUCUAUUACUUCCCAUAAAAAUCAUUUAAAGAUUUAAUACACAUUACCAAACAUCCAGGUUUACGCUGACAGGGUCUUGAGGUCAUUUUGGUUGACCCGAUACACAGACCAAGUAAUUUUUGCACUGGGCAUGUAAUUUGUGGUUCACCUACCAGGGGAGUUACAGUCAGGGUAUCAGGGUACACUGUUAGUUUGCACUCCACUGGGUGUAUACCAGCACAGACUGCAGCAGCAGCUAAAUAUAGAAUAUAUAAAUCUUUAAAAUGGUUUAAAUAAAAAAAAAAAAUAAAAAAAAAAUUGCUGCAUUGUGGAGUGGUACAAUGUAUCAUCUGGCAUUUAGCCCAAUGCAGGGGGAGGUCGCUAGGUACCCUUUAUUUUUACAGGUACACUGGAUGAGGGGGUGCAGAUAUUUUACAAGCCCUCAGGGAUAUGGCUUUGGAAUUUAGAAUUUGGACAUUAACACCCCGGCCCCUUCAUCCCACAGACAAACCUAUUUACAGAAAUGUUCACAAAACACAUAUAUACAGAACACAACAAACUUCUAACAAAAAACAAAAAAAAAACCCCGCCAGGUUCCCCUGUACCCACCUAGUGCCAAGCUGCAAUAUUCUGUACGCAAUCAGCUGCCCUCCCC